CAGGGACAACCUUCCCGCGGCUCCUGUUCCCUCAUCUUUGAGCUUUAACCUUUUAGGGUGCAGUUUGACAACUGCAUUUUCUUGCUGCAGGGCACCAAGCUGCAACAUGCCAGCACUUCCCAAAGCCGGCAGAGCCACCCAGCCCAGAAGGUCCUGGCGGGACCAGGAGGAGCCACCACCGGAGGAGACACCUGCGUGAAGGCUGAACCCCCACGGGACUGCAGCAGGCUGGAGCAGCAAGUGCAGGGCUGCAAGGAGGGGAUCCAGCCCCGACACCACCUAAGCCCAGGCGGCUCUGCCCUCGCAGGCGGCACCAGGGACCGAUCCGGCUGCUACGACAUCGCUUUAUUCUCACCCCAUUAUCUCCCCGCUGGGAAGCGGCAGAGCUUGGCUGGCAGGGCCGCCUGGCAGCAGAACCCGGUGCUAGCAGCAGGGACCCUCACACCCCAGGAUGCUGCCCCCGGGCUCUCCGGCUGCCUUUCGGAAACGCGCCCGCGGCGGGAUGGCUGACGUCCGCAUCUCCCCAUCCCCGGUUUGUAGUGCCACCGGCCGUGGGCACUGCUGGCGAGAAGCACAGAGGAGCGUGUGGGAGCUCCAACAAGACAGUAAAAGGCCUGAACAGGGCAGGGAAAGGAUUCUGGCAGCUGGCCUGAAUGCUGCCUUUCACCUCUGCUGUGAUAAACCCCCAGCCUGGCCCUUUUCCACAUCAACAAACAACCCCGAACUUAGCACUGGCCGCUCAGCCAGUGUACUGGCACCUGGGGGGCGGCCACAGACCUCAGCACAAGGGUCAACUGGGGCUGCCGCCCCCAAACCCCUCCAGGUCCCUGGCACGGCAGCACUCCCACGUGAGCACCCGUUAUUUCAGCUGCCCUGGCUGAAAUAAUCACCACUGGUGAUUUGGAGCACUCCUCCCAGGGUGGGGGGCUCCCGUGGGGUCCUGCGAGGCCAGGGAAGGCUGAACAGCACGGCCGCCUGCCCGGGGAGGGAUGGGGCCGUGCGCGAGGUGGCCCCAUCCAAGCCGCUAGGUCCAGAUCCGAGAGCCCAGCCCUCAGCCCCGCACAAUAACAGAGCUAACGAGAGCCGCUGUCAACAAGUCUGCAGCUCCCCAGCCCAUGCAGGGAAGGACGCUUUGCUCGAGGGACCCAGGAGGAGAAACCUGUUUCACUGACCUUGCUCCAUCACCGCUUUCCUGGCUGCACCGUGGGCGAGCUUGGGGCCGCGGCAGGGGGCGAGCGGCUCAGCCACCUGUCAGGGGCACGGCGAGGAGGAGGAGGAGCGGAGUCGGGGCCGCAUCACCAGCGGGUCGGGGUGCUGGGGGACGCACCGGGCGGGAAAGCGAGACCCCGCUUGGCUGAUGCCGCGUCUCGGCGCGGCUCCUCGCCUACCUGCGGAGCAUUGCUCCACCCCUCAUCAGCUAAUAAAGCCUCCGCCGCGCCGG